AUACAAUGAGCCCUAUAUAUAUAAUACACAUAACCUAACCUACUCCUAAUACACUUUGGACUAGAGUUCUACUAUAUUUAGAUAUCUAACAAAAUUAAAAUAUGCAUAAUCUCCGGAGUAAAUUACAAUAAAAGCAAUCCUAAGCACUAAAAAGCAAUCUUUCAUGGAAAACUAAGCACACCAGUACACACACAAAAAAAAAAUGCACAAAAAAACACUCACUUUGGGUACACAUAUGGUUUCUAGGCAUUAAUAAGCAUUCCAUUACCUCCCGAGCUUCAUUCGCCGUUUCGAGAACCCAAACAUUUUGUUAAGCAACUAACACCACUUCAAAUCACCCAAACCUUCAAAAAACAGAAAAAAUAGCUACAUCUUCAUAUUUAUUGAAGUAUUUAAGAGAAAUAUCAACAGUUUAACUGCACAUUAUACAGAAAUCGAAAACUCAUCUCCGAAGAAAAAAGGAAGAAAACUAGGUUUAAAUAUCACCAAAAGUAUAGAUUAAACUUAGGAUUUUCUUACUUUGCAAAUGUAUAUGUACACAUACCUAAAUGAAUAUCUAUAAGUAGGUGUAUAGAUAGAGAAAUGUGUAUGUCUAUACUUCGAUGAGCUGAAAGCGUAUAAGUACAACUGUGGAUUAGUGCGUGUGUUAGCGAUUUCUGCUCACAAAUGUAUAGGUACACACUUGUAUCUAUAGGUCAAUGUAUAGACACAGAAAUGGUGUAUGUAUAGGUUGCAGUUGAAAUGUGCCUAUUUUAGCAUUUCUAGUUCAUUCUCAGACCUCACUUUGUGGAUAUAGUGGAUACUUGUUGUUGUACUUCACAAAUGUACAUGUACACUGAGAUUGACUGAAGAGUGUGAAAUUUAGCGUUUCUCUCUCCACAAAUGUUGGAUACAUACAUACAUGUUACUGUGAGGUGAAAAUGACAUGAGGAGAGCAGAAGUGGCGCAUUUUAGCAUUUCGUUCGUUUGUGUAAU
rnacentral:lncRNA from 1 species